rnacentral:lncRNA from 10 species
GUGGAAUAGAGCUCUGUCACUGGAUAAUGAUCUCCUGUGGUUAGAUGAAUGAGGACAGCAAAUGUGGGCACCUUUAGAAACAGAACAGCAAGGGGCUGCCAAAAUGUUGAUUUUUCAAAGAGGGAGGUUUUAAUCCUGUCACAAUAUUCUAUUCAAAACAAACAUUAUAUGCAGAAGAAGACAGCAACAUCAAGAAGAGCAAGACGCUUGCAAGACUGAGAUAAGACUAAGAUAGAAGGUAGGCAACUUUGGAAAGCCACCCUCUAUGAUGACAAUCCACAGGCCAGGCAAACCUUCACGGAGAUAAUGUCUGAGACCAAAAGAGACAUGAAAAGCCAGUUGGAAGCAGUUUGGUUACAGGAGUACUGUUUGAUUGGCAACUGCAAUGGGCCCUUACAGUCCCCUCAGCUCCACACAGCUCAGAAGAACUGCACUCUGAUGGUUGAUUGUAACACUGAAGCAGCUUUGAGUUCUUGAGGAAGGCUUGAGUACUUGCUGGCAUUGAAGUAGCCACCCCAAUCUGGCUAUGACAUUUUCUUGGCUACAUGGUGAGAAUGAAUCAUCCCGGUCUUAUUUGCAAAUAAUAGUAAAAGGGCAUUUUACGGUUUGUUUGCAAAGAUCUUUUUCCUUUAUUUAUUUCAUAUUAUCAGAAAACCAUGCUAAGUGCACAAAAUUACCCUAUUUUAUGGAUGGAGAAACUCAGUCAGGUUAAGUGACUUUCUCAAGGUUCUUCAGCAAGUUUGAGGAAAAAC